CAGCCGCCGCGGUAACACGGAGGGUGCAAGCGUUAAUCGGAAUUACUGGGCGUAAAGCGCACGCAGGCGGUCUGACAAGUCAGAUGUGAAAUCCCCGGGCUUAACCUGGGAACUGCAUUUGAAACUGUCAGGCUGGAGUCUUGUAGAGGGGGGUGGAAUUCCAGGUGUAGCGGUGAAAUGCGUAGAGAUCUGGAGGAAUACCGGUGGCGAAGGCGGCCCCCUGGACAAAGACUGACGCUCAGGUGCGAAAGCGUGGGGAGCAAACAGGAUUAGAUACCCGGGUAGUCCCUGUCUCUUAUAC
rnacentral:rRNA from 1 species